rnacentral:lncRNA from 1 species
UUUUUUGAAGGCAGUACUUUGAGAGAGGAAUCAAAAUAAUACCAGCUGGAACUUUAACUGUCUUAUUUGUGAUAGUGAAGUCCUCUGCUAACUCACCAAGCAUUCAACCAAAUAUCACAUUUCAAAGCCUCUCAUUUGACCUUGGGUAUAAGCAUGUGUCCACAGCCAGAUGUUUGCCAAACUUUAACGAAUUAUAUAAACUUGUAGAAGCCACCACGACAUAUACCUUUUCGUGAAGCACCUUUUGAAAUAAACCUAUGAAGUCUCUAAAAUCAAGACACUCUGUACAAAGUGCUGAUCAUUCCUUGUUAAAAAAAAAUUAACGUAUGCAGUACUAUAGGUGCCGUAGGUGAGAAAGUGCUUAUCAGUGAAUAUUUUCCACAGCCCCACACUUAAGAAAAUGCACUUGCAGCUCUUCAGGUUGUUAGUUCUGUGUUAUUUACUAUGCAAGGGUUUCCUCUUUUUCUCUCACUUUUGCACAGGGAAGUG